AGUAUGAUUACUGGCUUAUAUAUGACUGUGUUUAGUUUUGUAAGAAACUGCCAAACUGUCUCCCAAAGUAAUUUAUCAUUUUGUAUUCCCACCAGCAAU
rnacentral:pre_miRNA from 1 species